rnacentral:rRNA from 1 species
AUUGAACGCUGGCGGCAGGCUUAACACAUGCAAGUCGAGCGGGGUGAUGGUGCUUGCACUAUCACUUAGCGGCGGACGGGUGAGUAAUGCUUAGGAAUCUGCCUAUUAGUGGGGGACAACAUCUCGCAAGGGAUGCUAAUACCGCAUACGUCCUACGGGAGAAAGCAGGGGAUCACUUGUGACCUUGCGCUAAUAGAUGAGCCUAAGUCGGAUUAGCUAGUUGGUGGGGUAAAGGCCUACCAAGGCGACGAUCUGUAGCGGGUCUGAGAGGAUGAUCCGCCACACUGGGACUGAGACACGGCCCAGACUCCUACGGGAGGCAGCAGUGGGGAAUAUUGGACAAUGGGCGCAAGCCUGAUCCAGCAACGCCGUGUGUGUGAAGAAGGCCUUAGGGUUGUAAAGCACUUUUAGUGGGGAAGAAAAGUUCAUGGCUAAUAUCCAUGAAUGCUGACGUUACCCACAGAAUAAGCACCGGCUAACUCUGUGCCAGCAGCCGCAGUAA